CAAUUUCUACACCAUCACAUCCAGCAAUGUCAACGUUUGUGCCACCAAACCUCGCGAUCAGCACACAAAAAAAAUCCCUUCACCGUCUCUGUUUCUUCGGCUCCCAAGUUUUCUAGAUCAAGAUCUAAUCUUUGUUUCUUAGGCUUAGCUUUCCGUCUGCUAAAGACUCAGAAGAUUCAUCCAUCUCCGGCAAAAUGUAAACGUCGUCGCUUAAGUCAAAUUCAGAACCAUUAUUUUCUUCCCUCGUUUUGCUAUCUACAUAAGAUUCUUUGGUUUCUGAACUGAAAAUUGAUGACUUUGCCAUGGUGAUUUGAGGUGGCCGCACGAUGGAAAUCAUGUGCAAAAUCUUGAGAAAACACAAUUGGGCUUUGGAACCUCUCCUGGUUGCACAAUACAUGGAGCUGAAGCUGAUCGGGAUAGGGUUCUUGGGUGAUUUACAUGGAGAAGAAGAAGUAGCCAUAGAUUUGAUUGAAGUACAAUUGACUGAUGGGAAAGGGGCAAGAAGAGAAUAGUAGUACGUGGUAGAUUUAUUUUUAGGCUAUGUUAUUCUUUGCUCAUAGAAAUAAACAAAAGGGAAUUAUAAAUUAAAGAAAUAAUCCCUUACGCCCAAAAAAAUUAGGAGCCUGUUUGGGCCCGAUUUUUUCACCCAAAAAAUUAUUUUUUUGAACGUUUUUCACUAUUCUAGUCGUCAUAUUUGACUUCUUCUCUCACAGGUGAACCUCACUUUUCUCUUAACGGUCAAAAAAUCAAUUCUCAAAAUCACUCUCAAACAGGCUCUAGAACCCAUUUCUACACCAUCACGUCCAGCAAUGUCCACCUUCAUCUUCUCCAUUUCUACACCAUCACCUCUAGCAAUGUUAACAUUUGUGCCACCAAACCUCGCAAUUAGCACACAAAAAACCCCCUUCCCCAUCUCUGUUUCUUCAGCUCCCAAGUUUUUGGGCGUAGGGUGGUGGUGUGUGUUAGAAUU
rnacentral:lncRNA from 1 species